rnacentral:rRNA from 1 species
UACGAACCGUGCGAACGUUGUUCGGAAUCACUGGGCUUAAAGGGCGCGUAGGCGGCUUGCCAAGUCCGGGGUGAAAUCUUUCGGCUUAACCGGAAAAGUGCCUUGGAUACUGGGAGGCUCGAGGGAGGUAGGGGCAAGCGGAACUUCCGGUGGAGCGGUGAAAUGCGUUGAUAUCGGAAGGAACGCCGGCGGCGAAAGCGGCUUGCUGGACCUCAUCUGACGCUGAUGCGCGAAAGCUAGGGGAGCGAACGGG